rnacentral:rRNA from 1 species
GACGAACGCUGGCGGCGUGCUUAACACAUGCAAGUCGAGCGGUAAGGCCCUUUCGGGGGUACGACGAGCGGCGAACGGGUGAGUAACACGUGGGUGACCUGCCCUCAGCUCUGGGAUAAGCCUGGGAAACUGGGUCUAAUACCGGAUAUGACUCCAUGACGCAUGUUGUGGGGUGGAAAGCCUUGUGCGGCUGAGGAUGGGCCCGCGGCCUAUCAGCUUGUUGGGG